rnacentral:rRNA from 1 species
GCUCUUUUGUCAGGGAAGAAACGGUGGUCUCUAAUAUAGGCGGCUAAUGACGGUACCUGAAGAAUAANCACCGGCUAACUACGUGCCAGCAGCCGCGGUAAUACGUAGGGUGCAAGCGUUAAUCGGAAUUACUGGGCGUAAAGCGUGCGCAGGCGGUUUUCUAAGUCAGAUGUGAAAUCCCCGGGCUCAACCUGGGAACUGCAUUUGAGACUGCAUGGCUAGAGUGUGUCAAAGGGGGGUAGAAUUCCACGUGUAGCAGUGAAAUGCGUAAAUAUGUGGAGGAAUACCGAUGGCGAAGGCAGCCCCCUGGG